AACGAACGCUGGCGGCAGGCUUAACACAUGCAAGUCGAACGCCCCGCAAGGGGAGUGGCAGACGGGUGAGUAACACGUGGGGAUCUGCCCAAUGGUACGGAAUAAUUCCGGGAAACUGGGACUAAUACCGUAUGUGCCCGCAAGGGGAAAGAUUUAUCGCCAUUGGAUUGAGCCGGGUCGGAUAAUCUAGUUUGUGAGGUAAAGGCUCACCAAGGCGACGAUCCGUAGCUGGUCUGAGAGGAUGAUCAGCCACACUGGGACUGAGACAAGGCCCAGACUCAUACGGGAGGCAGCAGUGGGGAAUAUUGUACAAUGGGCGCAAGCCUGAUCCAGCCAUGCCGCGUGAGUGAUGAAGGCCUUAGGGUUGUAAAGCUCUUUCGCCGACGAAGAUAAAGACGGUAGUCGGAGAAGAAGCCCCGGCUAACUUCGUGCCAGCCGCCGCAGUAAUAC
rnacentral:rRNA from 1 species